AUUGAACGCUGGCGGCAGGCCUAACACAUGCAAGUCGAGCGGAUGACGGGAGCUUGCUCCUUGAUUCAGCCGCGGACGGGUGAGUAAUGCCUAGGAAUCUGCCUGGUAGUGGGGGACAACGUUUCGAAAGGAACGCUAAUACCGCAUACGUCCUACGGGAGAAAGCAGGGGACCUUCGGGCCUUGCGCUAUCAGAUGAGCCUAGGUCGGAUUAGCUAGUAGGUGAGGUAAUGGCUCACCUAGGCGACGAUCCGUAAAUGGUCUGAGAGGAUGAUCAGUCACACUGGAACUGAGACACGGUCCAGACUCCUACGGGAGGCAGCAGUGGGGAAUAUUGGACAAUGGGCGAAAGCCUGAUCCAGCCAUGCCGCGUGUGUGAAGAAGGUCUUCGGAUUGUAAAGCACUUUAAGUUGGGAGGAAGGGCAGUAAGCUAAUACCUUGCUGUUUUGACGUUACCGACAGAAUAAGCACCGGCUAACUCUGUGCCAGCCGCCGCUGUAACAC
rnacentral:rRNA from 1 species